CUCAUGUCUGAUCUCAGGAUCAAAUCUGCACAGGUUCUGAUCUCAGAACAGAAUUACCUCAUGUCUGAUUUCAGGACAAAAUCAUCUCAGGUCUGAUCUCAGGAUAGAAUCUGCUCAGGUUCUGAUCUCAGGACAGAAUCAGCUCAGGUCUGAUCUCAGAAACAAAUCAGCUGACGUCUGAUCUCAGGACCAUAUCUGCACAGGUUCUGAUCUCAGGACCCAAAAAGCUCUGGUCUGAUCUCAGGACCGAAUCAUCUCAUGGAUGAUCUCAGAACAGAAUCAGCUCAGGUCUGAUCUCAGAACAGAAUCAUCUCACACAUGAUCUCAGGAAAAAAUCAGCUCAGGUCUGAUCUCAGGAAAGAAUCUGCUCAGGUCUAAUCUCAGGACAGAAUCAGCUCGGGUCUGAUCUCAGGACAGAAUCAGCUCGGGUCUGAUCUCAGGAAAAAAUCAGCUCGGGUCUGAUCUCAGGACAGAAUCAGCUCAGGUCUGAUCUCAGGACAGAAUCUGCUCACGUCUGAUCUCAGGACAGAAUCAGCUCGGGUCUGAUCUCAGAACAGUCACCUUUGCUGAUGGAAUAUUAGCCACCUUCACAGCUGCCAAAUACAGUUAUUUCCCAAUCAUUUUGUCUUUAUUUGUUCACAGUGCUGCUCAUCUAGUAUAUUAGUGAUCUAGUAUUUUAAAAUUCUAAUGAAAACAGUAAAUAAUAUGAUGUCAUUUUAACCUUCUAAAAUUCCCAUCAAAAUACAGAACCAUGCAGCUUUAAUGAGCACUGAAUAUCUGUGUCUCCCCUACAGAAUCUUGGCAUCAUGUCUGACAAUCUUCCCUCUCGUUCUUUCUCUUCUCUUUCCCUUUCUCUAAACGUCCAUCUGUUCUUCUCCCCUGGGCCCUUAUUAUUCACUUCAUCCAGGGGUUUCACUGCCCUCUCCUCUCCUCUCGUCUCCUCUCCAGUAUGUUUCCGGGCUCAGUUUCCAAAUACACACACACACACACACACAGAUAAUGACAAACAGGCUCAGAUCUCCAUCCAGAAGCACUUCAGACCCGCACAGAACUUUGAUUGA
ensembl:lncRNA